rnacentral:lncRNA from 1 species
CACAUUUAUCCUAUUUAUUUCACUUAAGAGUGUGGCCUCAAUGUGCAUUAAUCUUAGUUUUUUGAGGUAUCUCCAUAUUGAUUUCCACAGUGGUUGAACCAGUCUGCACUCCCACCAACAAUAGAGAAGGGUUCCUUUCUCCCCACAACCCUGCCAGCAUUUGUUGUUGGUUAAUUUCUUGAUAGCAGCCAUUCUUUCUGGGUUGAGAUGGAAUCUCAGUGUUGUUUUCAUCUGCAUCUCUCGAAUGACCAAUGAUGUUGAACACUUUUUCAUGUUUAUUUGCUGCUUUUACUUCUUUGUCUGAGAAAUGUCUCUUCAUUUCAGAUGCCCAUUUUUGAAUUGGGUCUUUGAAUUUGGGGAGUCUGAUUUUUUAAAGUUCUUUAUAUAUUCUAGAUAUAGUAGUCCUUUGUCUGAGGAACAGCUGAUAAAAAUUUUUUUCCCACAUUGUAGGUUGUGUCUUAGCUCUGUUGGUAAUUUCUCUUGCAGUGCAGAAGCUUUUUAAUAAGAUGAGAUCCCAGUUGUUGAUUCUUUGUGCUAGUUCCCGUGCUACUGAGGUUUUGUUUAUAAAGUCUUUUUCUAUGCCAGUGUGUUCGAGAGUUCUACUUAACUUAUCUUCCAGCAAGUUUAGUGUUUUUGUUUUAAUAUUUAGAUCUCUAAUCCACUUGGAUAUUAGUUUAGUGCAUGUUGAAAGAUAGGGGUUUAGUUUUAAAAUUUGGCAGGUUGAAAUCCAGUUUUCCCAGCACCAUUUAUUAAAGAGGUUAUUUUUCUUCCAGUGAGGGUGUUUGGCUCCUUUGUCAAAGAUGAGGUGGGUGAGUGUGUCUGGAGUUGUUUCAGCAUCUUCUAAUCUGUUCCACUGGUACUUGGGUCUGUUUCUUUGCCAGUACCAUGCUGUUUUUAUCACAGUAGCUUUGUAGUAUAGUUUCAAGUUGGGCGUUGUGAUACCCCCACCAUGUUUGUGUUGCCCAGAAUUGCUUUUGCUAUUCUAGGUCUCUUGUUCCAAAUGAAUUUUUCUAUUGUUUUCUCAAGGUCCAUGAUGUAUGCUGCUGGGAUUUCAAUUGGGAUUGCAUUGAAUUUAUGUAGCAGUUUUGGAAGUAUGGCCAUUUUCACUGUGUUGAUCCUUCCUACCCAGGAGCAGGGGAUGUCUUUCCAUUUUCUGAUAUCAUCUUCAAUCUCUCUUUUCAGAGUGCUAUAGUUUUCAGGGAAGAGGUCUUUGAUUUCUUUUGUUCGGUGGAUUUCUAGGUAUUUCAGUUUUUUGGAUGCUAUUGUGAAAGGAAUUAUUUGCCCUAUUUCUCCCUCAGUGAUUCUGUUGUUCGUGUAGAGGAAACUAUUGCUUUUUGUGUGUUGACCUUAUAUCCAGCUACUCUACUGAAUUUGGUUAUUAAGUCUAGAAGACUUUUGGUGGAGUUCUUGGGAUCUUCUAUAUAGACUAUCAUGUCAUCUGCAAAUAAUGACAAUUUGACUUCUUCAUUUUCUUUCUUGAUUCCUUUUAUUUCCUUCUCUUGUCUAAUUGCCGUGGCUAAUGUUUCCAGAACUAUAUUGAACAGGAGUGGUGAUAGUGGACAUCCUUGUCUUGUUCCUGAUUUUAGUGUGAAGGAUUUCAGUUUUUGACCAUUUAGUAUGAUAUUGGGUGUUGGUUUUUCAUAGAUGGCUUUUAUCAGAUUGAGGUAGAGACCAUCUAUUCCAAUUUUUUGUAGGGUUUUUAUCAUAAAUGCAUGUUGGAUUUUGUCAAAUGCUUUUUCUGUGUCUAUGGAGAUAAUCCUAUGGUUUUUGUCCUUGGCUCUAUUGAUAUAGUGUAUUACAUUAAUUGAUUUUCGUAUAUUGAACCAUCCCUGCAUCCCUGGGAUGAAUCCCAGUUGGUCAGAGUGUUUGAUCUUCUUGAUGAUUUUCCACAUUCUAUUUGCCAGUAUCUUAUUAAGGAUUUUUGCAUCUAUGUUCAUUAGUAAGAUUGGCCUAUAGUUCUCUUUUUCAGUUGGGUCUUUCUCUGCUUUGGGGAUCAAAGUGAUACUUGCUUCCUGGAAUGAAUUCGGGAGUAUUGCUUCCCUUUCAAUUUCAUUGAAGAGUUUAAACAGUAGUCGCAGUAGUUCUUCUUUAAAUCUCUUGUAGAAUUUGGUGGUGAAGCCAUCAGGACCCGGGCUUUUCUUAGUUGGUAAGUUUUUAAUUAUGUUUUCAAUUUCUUUUUUUUUUAAUUUUUGGUACCAGGGAUCGAACUCGGGUCCUUGCGCUUACACAGCAGGCAGCGAAACCACUGAGCUAAAUCCCCAGCCCAUAUUUUUUCAGUUUCAUUGAUUGGGUUGUUUAGAAUUUUUAGGUCUUCUUUGUUCAACUUUGGUAAUUCAUACUUACCUAGGAAUCUGUCCAUUUCUUCUGUGUUUUUCAUCUUAUUGGCAUAUAGGUUCUGGAAGUAGGUAUUGAUGAUCCUCUGGAUUUCUGCUGGGUCCAUUUUAAUUUCCUCCUUUUCAUUCCUAAUUGCAUGGAUUUGGGCCUUUUCUUUCCCUUUCCUGAUAAGGUUGGCUAAGGGUUUGUCAAUUUUGUUGAUUCUUUCGAAGAACCAACUCUUGGCUUCAUUGAUUUUUUUUGUAUUGUUCUUUUAGUCUCCAUUGCAUUGAUUUCUCCUCUGAUCUUUGUAAUUUCCUCCCUUGUAUGAGAUUUGUUCUGUUCUUCUUUUUCUAGAAGCUUGAGGUUCAGCAUCAGGUUGUUUAAUUGGGCUCAUUCUGUCUUCCUAAUAUGCGUUUUCACUGCUAUGAAUUUCCCUCAUAAG